rnacentral:tRNA from 2 species
GCCCAAGUGACGGAAUGGUAGACGUAAGGGACUUAAAAUCCCUGGGCUGUAAUGGCCGUGCUGGUUCAAGUCCAGUUUUGGGCACCA